rnacentral:lncRNA from 1 species
UUACCUUUGUGGCUCUUCUCUGAACUGUGUUCAGUUCAUUCCACCAAGAUGGCCGCUCUAGGGGAGCCCUGGCCAGAAGGAGAGUGGGGCCCAGGUGUACCGACCAGGUGUGACACAGGAGAGGCAGCACAGUAAAACACAUGGAUCACAGAUCCCAGACAGAAGAGGGCAGCAGUCCUGGCAGGAACAACAAGAAGAGGACAGAUGAAAAGAACAUGGCUGCCGGUACAAGCCCCACGCCAAGACUAUAAUUCACAGCUCACCUUGCACCAGAGGAGGACCUGAAAGUGGCUUCAUCUUCCAUAUCCAGCCCUCUGUCUGGCACUGUGGAUCCCCAGAUGAUUAAGGCAUGGCAUCUGCUGUGAGAGACAGACAGACAGACAGACAGACAGAUAGGCAGAGAAGAGGAUAAACAACUGCUCUCCCAGUCCAGGCAAACCUGUGGAGCCAACACAUCCUCUGGACUUGGUUUGCAGGUCUUUUGCAGGGAACCAACACCAUCACUCUUCUCCUAGAAACAAGAGGCUCUAGGCCGGGACAAGGCCUAUCACUUCUGGACAUCUAGACCAGCCACCAAAUGGUCUAGCUGACUCAACCUGGGAAGCUGGGACAAAGAAGGGGAAUCAGGAAAAUCAGAAACUCCUGUGGCCAGGCAAGCUCCAGUGACCAAGGUGUGAUCAUCCCAGCGCUGAAAAGAUCACACCAACCCUGUGUCUCCCACACCAACCGAAGUGUCCCCACUGUGCAAGAAGUUGGGGUGUAAAGACCUCAGAGAGAACUAAGUUGGAGUUCAGAUCCAAACUCCAUUUCUUCUGUAACAUGGCAACUGAGUUUCUGUUCAUUCCUUUGGAGAUUGAGGACAUAACACCUUAUCUCCCUGGGCUGUCGUAUGUUCAUAAUGUUCACAAUAAUGUAUGUGAAAGGCC